GUGGGGAAUAUUGGACAAUGGGCGAAAGCCUGAUCCAGCCAUGCCGCGUGUGUGAAGAAGGUCUUCGGAUUGUAAAGCACUUUAAGUUGGGAGGAAGGGCAGUAAGUUAAUACCUUGCUGUUUUGACGUUACCGACAGAAUAAGCACCGGCUAACUUCGUGCCAGCAGCCGCGGUAAUACGAAGGGUGCAAGCGUUAAUCGGAAUUACUGGGCGUAAAGCGCGCGUAGGUGGUUUUGUAAGUUGGAGGUGAAAUCCCCGGGCUCAACCUGGGAACUUCCUCCAAAACUGCAUGACUAGAGUACGGUAGAGGGUAGUGGAAUUUCCUGUGUAGCGGUGAAAUGCGUAGAUAUAGGAAGGAACACCAGUGGCGAAGGCGACUACCUGGACUGAUACUGACACUGAGGUGCGAAAGCGUGGGGAGCAAACAGGAUUAGAAACCCCGGUAGUCC
rnacentral:rRNA from 1 species